AGACGGUUCAGUCAGAGGCAUUUCAAGCAAGGAAGCUGCUUUGGAGCACAUGAGGAUAAUUGGAAGAGUGAAAGAUCAAAGCAAAGCAGAAACAUCUGCUACAAGGUGAUAAUUCAGUGCUACUGGAGAAAAUCUCCUUUCUGGGAGAUUCUGGAGUUAUCUCAAAGGUGGUUUUAUUAUUAUUAUUAUUAUUAUUAUUAAUUAUUGUUAUUACUGAAGAGGAAAGGCUGAAUCUGGACUUCCCAGGUGUAUCUACAUUAGACCAAAUACUGUAAAUUCGAAGUGAGCCCAGUGCAACCUGCAAGCCUUUGGACAGGUGCAACGUCUUCUGUGGUGUCUUGCAUGGAGCCUGCAGCAAUGACAGUACAAUUAAUUACCACUAAUCAUGGUAACCCUGACAAUUCAAACACUGUGGAAGACUAACAUCAUCUCCGGAUUAAAGCUUCCCCUGCAGAAGGCUGUUUGUGAUUGUGUUUACCUGUCACCCCUGUUCUGUUUUCUCACUCCAUGGAAAUAUUAAUAUUCUCCCCAAAGGUGGGAAUGUGGUGGAGCAGGAGGGACGCCAAAGCUCCACUUCCCUCAAUAUCGCUGAGGGCACUGGGGGGAGAUGUUUGGCACUGACUUGUCCACUGGAACAUCACCAGGCUUGCUAGAAGAGGUGGUACUGAACUUUGAGCGUUUUUCCUCUGGUUUCAACCCAAACAGAGCUUGCCUUCUGCUUGCAUUGUUGCUGAAGUAUGUGUGGUGGGCUGUUUGAUGGUAAGCAGAUCACACGUUUUGGGGAAAAGCCAAGAAAAUAACAGUGGUUUCUUAUGGCCUCGUAAACUGCUGGGCUCCGACAUGUAUUUCCCAACCAGAGUAUU